rnacentral:rRNA from 1 species
AUUGAACGCUGGCGGCAUGCCUUACACAUGCAAGUCGAACGGUAACGGGACUUCGGGUGUCGCCGAGUGGCGAACGGGUGAGUAAUACAUCGGAACGUGCCCGAUCUUGGGGGAUAACGAGGCGAAAGCUUUGCUAAUACCGCAUACGAUCUACGGAUGAAAGCAGGGGACCGCAAGGCCUUGCGCGGACGGAGCGGCCGAUGGCAGAUUAGGUAGUUGGUGGGAUAAAAGCUUACCAAGCCGACGAUCUGUAGCUGGUCUGAGAGGAUGAUCAGCCACACUGGGACUGAGACACGGCCCAGACUCCUACGGGAGGCAGCAGUGGGGAAUUUUGGACAAUGGGCGCAAGCCUGAUCCAGCCAUGCCGCGUGCAGGAUGAAGGCCUUCGGGUUGUAAACUGCUUUUGUACGGAACGAAAAGCCUUCUUUUAAUACAGGAGGGUCAUGACGGUACCGUAAGAAUAAGCACCGGCUAACUACGUG